AGCGUUGUCCGGAAUUAUUGGGCGUAAAGGGCUCGCAGGCGGUUUCUUAAGUCUGAUGUGAAAGCCCCCGGCUCAACCGGGGAGGGUCAUUGGAAACUGGGGAACUUGAGUGCAGAAGAGGAGAGUGGAAUUCCACGUGUAGCGGUGAAAUGCGUAGAGAUGUGGAGGAACACCAGUGGCGAAGGCGACUCUCUGGUCUGUAACUGACGCUGAGGAGCGAAAGCGUGGGGAGCGAACAGGAUUAGAUACCCUGGUAGUCCACGCCGUAAACGAUGAGUGCUAAGUGUUAGGGGGUUUCCGCCCCUUAGUGCUGCAGCUAACGCAUUAAGCACUCCGCCUGGGGAGUACGGUCGCAAGACUGAAACUCAAAGGAAUUGACGGGGGCCCGCACAAGCGGUGGAGCAUGUGGUUUAAUUCGAAGCAACGCGAAGAACCUUACCAGGUCUUGACAUCCUCUGACAAUCCUAGAGAUAGGACGUCCCCUUCGGGGGCAGAGUGACAGGUGGUGCAUGGUUGUCGUCAGCUCGUGUCGUGAGAUGUUGGGUUAAGUCCCGCAACGAGCGCAACCCUUGAUCUUAGUUGCCAGCAUUCAGUUGGGCACUCUAAGGUGACUGCCGGUGACAAACCGGAGGAAGGUGGGGAUGACGUCAAAUCAUCAUGCCCCUUAUGACCUGGGCUACACACGUGCUACAAUGGACAGAACAAAGGGCAGCGAAACCGCGAGGUUAAGCCAAUCCCACAAAUCUGUUCUCAGUUCGGAUCGCAGUCUGCAACUCGACUGCGUGAAGCUGGAAUCGCUA
rnacentral:rRNA from 1 species